rnacentral:tRNA from 1 species
AAAUAAGUGGACAAGUGGACAAGGCACCUGCCCGGUAAGCAGAAGGGUGUGGGUUCGAUUCCCGCCCCUGGACACUUUUUAUUUU